GAAUUGCUGAAGUUGUGAAGGUUGAUGCUGUGAAUGCGCUCGGUCAUCCCCUUGCAACUGAUGUCACCUGCAGCAUGUCAACGCAGACACAAAACAGGGCAUGGGUCAGAUCUAGCUGGUUGCAUUCCUAACACCUAGGUUUCAGAGUAAAAAUACAGAGUCAGCUUGUGAUGGCAUUCCCUCAAAACAUGGAAGGAAUUGCAGUAAUGAAAGUCAUCAUGUAUUCUAAGAGACUGUUCUGCGAGAGCACAACACAGACGGGGCUAAAGCAGGGAUUGUCUAAGCCCAGUGUGGAGGAACCAUCAAGGAUUUCAGCACGUUUUUUUAGCCAUUGUACAGUUUGUGAAAAUUAAGUUUUACUCUGUGAAUAAAGAAUUGGAUAGAUAAUUCCAGACAACAUUCUGAAAGACACUUACGCCGUCAUUCCAAAGUUGAAAUGAAAUGAGGGGGAGAAGACUUGCUGGGACUAAGGAAAAAAGUCAAUGAAAUCUGAGUGAGAAGCAAAAGUGCUCAGGAGUUAAGAGAAGCAGACGUCCGAAAUUAUCUCCAUGCAUUACCAAAAACCGUGGGCACCACGGCACGGGGAAAACUUACCAGGUACAAUGAGCCAGUGACUGUUACUGAAUUUCUUAAGAUUACACUUUUCCCAACUACUGCAGACUGCUUCAGAAUAGAAGAAGACAACUCUCAUGCCAUCAAGCCGACGGACUUUCAAAAAAAUAAAAGAUGCAUUUCUUUACUUGAGCUACGGUGAAAGGGCACCUAAGGUGAAUGGACAGAUUGUAGAUGGGUGCACACAGGAAAAUGUACAGCUCCUACAAUGUAUUCUGAGGGCCCAUGAGAAGUAAAAGCAGGCACUGGCAUUCUGCACAGAUGAAAUACUUCCUACGACAGGAAUACAUGCUCACUUGUGGACUUCUCUGUAAUCUGUAGGCAACAUCAGCUCCUGAUUUCUAGGUCUGGAUCUGGGUUCUCUGUAGCACAGGAAGCAUAGUUACUCUGUGAUGAAGAAAAACUCAGAAAACUAUCCAGAUGUGGGAAUUUCUCGGGUAUUCCUUGCACUUGAACUUAAGGAUGAAUGAAGGUAUAUACAAGUCUCUACUUCUCCUACAUAAAUGCCUUGCAUGGCGGGAACUAAAUCAACUACACAGACCCAUACAUCCAGAGAGCAGAGGUGAGCUGGAUACAAGUGGCUUAGAGAUGUGGUGGAAGGAGGCCAGAGCUCCAAGGGAAGGGCAGCAAGGAGACAACAGCAUGGGUUGCAGCUCAGACAACAGGUAAAUAAAACCAAGCAAAGCUGCUGGUCACAGAUUUGACCAGGGUGGCAAGAAAUGACAAGCUACCAUGAGAUUCAACAGUGGCACGGAAGGAUGAUGAGAAGCAAACAGAUUAGGAGAAGCUGCCACCACCGUACAUAGAGGCACAGAUGACCAAGCAGAACAGCACCAGUCCCUGCAAGGUGUGCUCAGAUACAGCUCAGCACAGCCAUCUGGCCAGGAGGGAAUGAUAAUGCACAUGGUGUGCACUGCAGCCGGGAAGUUGAGAACCGCUGUGGGCACCUCAGGACUGAGUCUGGUUACCCUGCUGAUCCAAGAAAUGAAGCCAUCUAAAAUUUUGCCUGCUUUCACAAUUUUCUGUGUGUGUGUGUGUGUAUUAAACAAAGUGAACUAAGAAGC
rnacentral:lncRNA from 1 species